AUGCAGCCCCAGACCAGUAGAAGAGGUGAAAAAACGCUCCGUGAAAACCAGCAAAGAAACCAGGGAAGAAUAUGCAUAGAGGAAAAUAAAUCUGUGGAAAACAAGUCAUCAAAGAAGCUGCAGCAACUUGCCGUGACAUAUUUUCUACUAUCAACUGUGUCCAGUCUUGGGGUCCGGGCUACCGUAAGAAAACAACUGGAAACUCACAUUUUAAAAAAUAACAAAUUAUACAGCAACCAUAUUUUGGCAUUAAAAUCAGAGGCAUUUCUAAGGUAGAUUCUCGUUUCUGGUCAUGAAGACUGCGCCCCUCUCCUCUCCGGUGUGAACUGCAGUGCGUCCCUGAGGUUUUGGGGGAGGACUUGACACGGAGGAUGAGAGCACAGGGGCAGAAUCCUUGGUUGGCCUGUAACGCUCCAUGAUCUUUCACAAGGUGACUACAAAAUGGCGAGAACAGAUGGCCUAUCUUCUGCUUCAAAUUUGAUGUUUCAAUGAAAAACAUUAUCUUAAAUUCAUGUUCUUACUGGAAAUGGUUAAAUCCACUUUUACUCAAGAUUUACAGUUUAAUCCAAAGACUCUUUAAUGUUACAAAGAAAUAUAAAGUUACCCUAAGUUAAAAUUGAUUGAUGGACAUUGAAGUAACUACAAACAUCGGG
rnacentral:lncRNA from 1 species